rnacentral:tRNA from 11 species
CCCCCUGUAGCUCAGUCGGUUAGAGCAGCGGACUCAUAAUCCGUUUGUCGCAGGUUCGAGCCCUGCCGGGGGGA